rfam:Penicillium marneffei ATCC 18224 scf_1105668340758 genomic scaffold, whole genome shotgun sequence.
GGCAAGAUGGCCGAGCGGUCUAAGGCGGUGUGUUCAGGCUAUAUACAGCGUAUUUAUACAAUGUAUAUUGGCGAAUCGCAUUCCGAAAGGGCGUGGGUUCGAAUCCCACUCUUGUCA